rnacentral:rRNA from 1 species
UACGGGGGGUGCGAGCGUUGUCCGGAAUCACUGGGCGUAAAGGGCGCGUAGGUGGCCUGAUAAGGGUGUGGUGAAAGUCCGGGGCUCAACCCCGGAUCGGCCGUGCCGACUGUUAGGCUAGAGUACUGUAGGGGCAGGCGGAAUUCCGGGUGUGGCGGUGGAAUGCGUAGAGAUCCGGAAGAACACCAGUGGCGAAGGCGGCCUUCUGGACCAAUACUGACGCUCAUGCACGAAAGCGUGGGGAGCAAACAGG